AAAGACUAGAAUGAAUGGCUAAACGAGGUUCUAUCUGUCUCUCACAAACAAUCAGUGAAAUUGAUCUUCCCGUGCAAAAGCGAGAAUAUCUCCAUAAGACGAGAAGACCCUGUGGAACUUUAAGUAUAGGUCACAACCAUCAGCCAACCAUUCAAUAGAAAACACCUUAUAAUAUACCUGACUAAAAACUUUCGGUUGGGGCGACCUCGGAGCACAAUAAAACCUCCGAAAUAUUACUACCAAGAUAAUACAAAUCUAAGUGUCCACGACAAAACGAUCCAAUAUACAUGAUCAACGAACCAAGCUACCCCAGGGAUAACAGCGCAAUCCCCUCUUAGAGUCCAUAUCAAUGACGGGGGU
rnacentral:rRNA from 1 species